AUGCAAGUCGAGCGGAGUUGUUCCUUCGGGGACAGCUUAGCGGCGGACGGGUGAGUAACACGUAGGCAACCUGCCUGCAAGACCGGGAUAACCCACGGAAACGUGAGCUAAUACCGGAUAGAUGGUYCCCUCGCAUGAGGGGAUCAGGAAAGACGGGGCAACCUGUCACUUGYAGAUGGGCCUGCGGCGCAUUAGCUAGUUGGCGAGGUAACGGCUCACCAAGGCGACGAUGCGUAGCCGACCUGAGAGGGUGAACGGCCACACUGGGACUGAGACACGGCCCAGACUCCUACGGGAGGCAGCAGUAGGGAAUCUUCCGCAAUGGACGAAAGUCUGACGGAGCAACGCCGCGUGAGUGAGGAAGGUCUUCGGAUCGUAAAGCUCUGUUGCCAAGGAAGAACGCUUGGUGGAGU
rnacentral:rRNA from 1 species